rnacentral:rRNA from 1 species
UACGUAGGGUGCAAGCGUUAAUCGGAAUUACUGGGCGUAAAGCGUGCGCAGGCGGUUUUGUAAGUCUGACGUGAAAGCCCCGGGCUCAACCUGGGAAUUGCAUUGGAGACUGCAAGGCUAGAAUCUGGCAGAGGGGGGUAGAAUUCCACGUGUAGCAGUGAAAUGCGUAGAGAUGUGGAGGAACACCGAUGGCGAAGGCAGCCCCCUGGGUCAAGAUUGACGCUCAUGCACGAAAGCGUGGGGAGCGAACAGG